AGCUCCAAUAGCGUAUACUAAAUUUGUUGCAGUUAAAAAGCUCGUAGUUGGAUUUCUGAUCGGUGUGAUGCUCCAGUUCUUUGAAUUGUGUAAAUCAUGCUGUUCAUCCUGGGAAAUCGCGGUUUGGGCAUUCAUUUGUUCAUACUGGCAAUUCCCUCGUUUACUUUGAGAAAAUUAGAGUGUUCAAAGCAGGCUUACGCUUGAAUACAUUAGCAUGGAAUAAUAUUAUAGGACUUUGGUCUUAUUUUGUUGGUUUCUAGGACCGAAGUAAUGAUUGAUAGGGACGGUUGGGGGCAUCAGUAUUUCAAAGCGAGAGGUGAAAUUCUUGGACCUUUGGAAGACUAACAACUGCGAAAGCAUUUGCCUAGGACGUUCUCU
rnacentral:rRNA from 1 species